UACGUAGGGUGCAAGCGUUAAUCGGAAUUACUGGGCGUAAAGCGUGCGCAGGCGGUUUUGUAAGUCUGUCGUGAAAGCCCCGGGCUUAACCUGGGAAUUGCGAUGGAGACUGCAAGGCUUGAAUCUGGCAGAGGGGGGUAGAAUUCCACGUGUAGCAGUGAAAUGCGUAGAGAUGUGGAGGAACACCGAUGGCGAAGGCAACCCCCUGGGUCAAGAUUGACGCUCAUGCACGAAAGCGUGGGGAGCAAACAGG
rnacentral:rRNA from 1 species